CCUCACGGCUCCCUCUGAGCAUGCGUAGUUCGUCCUCCUUGUUCGCUCGCUAGUCACCAGCUUUGCGCUGCAGAUAAUCCUGGAGCCACCAGAUUCGUGCAUUGUUCAGUGACUGGGUCCUGCACGAGCCGUAUGCGCUACAGGAACAAAUUUUCCCUGGCUCUUACAGCUCUUGUGAGGAAAGAAGGCAGGCCACCAGGAGCAGGACUCUCUCCUGGAGAUCUCCACGUUAUGCAGACAUGCCUCACCACCGCUGCGGGUCAGAGAGCCCAGAAACAAGCAAUUCCUGAUCCUUCCAACCUGAGUAACAUCACACCAGAGCUUGUGGAGAACCGUUGAAAUUGCCAGUGCCACCCCAAUCUUCGGCAACCAUCACCCUGAUCAGCCAUCAACAUCAAAGCUAGACCCUCCACCAGUGAAAAGAUCACAACUUAUUGAAGACCAAAAUGGUCACUGUGUUAUCAAACCUGAGCUGAUAUUGGAGCAAGGAGUUGGAGCAAGAAGAACUGCGGAUAUUAAAGGGACAACUCCCAAGUCAGAGCCACCCUGAAGUCCAAAGAACCAAUAACAUGAAAGAGAUAAGCCAAGAAAAUGACAGGUAUUUGAGGCAAGAUUUAUUCAUCAACAACAGAAUGCUGACUAAGGAGAGGAAUAAGACCUUCAAAUAAACACUUAAUAUGGCCACAGAUCCAGUGCCCUCAAGAAAAAUAUCCCAUCAGGGUGACCCAUUUGUAACAAAUUUGAAAAGUGUUUCUCAAUUAAUGAUUAGUAAUAGAAGUAAUGUGAGAAAAAAAUCUGAUGAUUUCAGUGGAUGUAUGUUCUUUGAUACUGUGCAUGAAAAAACUCAUACAGAAAAUAAAUCCUG